rnacentral:rRNA from 1 species
GAUGAACGCUGGCGGCGUGCCUAACACAUGCAAGUCGAGCGAACAGACGCGGAGCUUGCUCCUCUGACGUUAGCGGCGGACGGGUGAGUAACACGUGGAUAACCUACCUAUAAGACUGGGAUAACUUCGGGAAACCGGAGCUAAUACCGGAUAAUAUAUUGAACCGCAUGGUUCAAUAGUGAAAGACGGUUUUGCUGUCACUUAUAGAUGGAUCCGCGCCGCAUUAGCUAGUUGGUAAGGUAACGGCUUACCAAGGCAACGAUGCGUAGCCGACCUGAGAGGGUGAUCGGCCACACUGGAACUGAGACACGGUCCAGACUCCUACGGGAGGCAGCAGUAGGGAAUCUUCCGCAAUGGGCGAAAGCCUGACGGAGCAACGCCGCGUGAGUGAUGAAGGUCUUCGGAUCGUAAACCUCUGUUAUUAGGGAAGAACCGAUGUGUAAGUAACUAUGCACGUCUUGACGGUACCUAAUCAGAAAGCCCCGGCUAACUACGUG